CCCUCGUCACCAUCGAUGUAAGAAAUUGAAGACUGAACAGGAGCCGUGUUGAGAUAACCUGGGUCAUAAAGUUUGAGCCCCUUGUCAUCCUUUCCAGCUGAUAUCUUUUUGAAAUCAGAGGCUUUGACUGUGCCAUGUUUAGAGACCUGAAUUUGAUACGUCUUACCGUUCCUCUCAUCAAUGACGGUGAGAGUUCUCUGUAAGUUUCCCGGCGGCGGGAUCAGGGCGGAGACACUCUGGGCUUCUAAAACGGGAGGCGAAAUCGAGGCCGACUCAAUCGACGCCGCGGCAGUAAGGUGAGCUGCGAGCACGGCCAACCGGCNNNNNNGAAAGAGGAAGAGUCGGAUUUUGACAUGGUUAGAUUAAGUGAAACCACUAGUGUUGAUUAAUUACUUAAGAGAAUAGAUAGAAGGCAGCGUCUGUGUUAUGGGGCUU
rnacentral:misc_RNA from 1 species